UAUCACUGUUUUUUUAUCUCGUUUGAUAUUUUCGCCUUGCUUUAUGCAAAUUGCCCUUCGUAUCGGCAUUAGUGUGAGAUUCUCAACAUGAGGUUUAAGUUCUUAUCAAUUUUGUGGGUGUUGCAGAUAUUUGUCUUAGCUGAAGCAGUGCCUGACAAAGAUAAAAACCAGAAGGGGUUACAAUGGAAACCACAGUGAUUUUAGCAAUAGUAAUAGUUGGUAUCAGUAUUGUUGUCACAGCUCUUGGUUUUGCGGUUGGUGGUGUUUCAACGGGCUCUAUAGUUACCUGGAUACAAAGUACUUUUUUCGGUGGAACUCUCAGCAAAAUAUUCGCAGGAAUACAAAGUAUUGUAGCUGUUGUAUUGGCUGUAAGCGCAAAAGCAAUUGCGCAAACUAUUAAUGUAUUAGUUUCAGGCUUUAGGAAUAUAUUAAACAAAAAUAAAUGUUCAAAUGGUCCAAAUACUUCCAAAGAACCUACUGAACCUAAUAUAGUGAAAAGUAAAACAUCUGAAACCUUAGACUCAGGAAAUUGGGAAAGCUUAGUGAAUGAUAUUAAGAACUUUUCUGACGCAAGUAGCAAUGCUGGAGAAAAAGAAAGUGCAAGAAAGAUGCUCGAAAUUUUAAAACUCUUAGAAGAAAUAAACGAAAGUCUUGAGAAGGAAGAUAAAUGAAAAAUUAUGUUAAUAAGAAGAGCAAAAAUGUAAACACACAAAAUAAUGUCUUAAAUUAAUAUUCUUAGCCAGGGAAUUUCAAGAAAAUUAAAAUAUUUUAAAAUAUUGAAUUAUAAAAAUAGGAACAAAGAUGAAUUUUAGUAGAAGUGAAAUAAUUACACAUGUAAAAUUGGAUUUUUUUCUCUUUCUAAACUGCUGAAGACGAAAAAAAAUUUUUGUAAUGCAAACAAUGGACCACAAAUUGUUAAAUUAAGUUAAGGGAUUAUGAAGAUUUUGCUUAAUCAACAACAAUUUUCUCAGCAAUAUUGAAAUAAAAUGAUUCGUGUCUGCGUUUGCGAAUUUAUUGGCGAGCGUAGAUCAUGCUAGAUUUGGUAAUUAUACAAAUUACAAUUGUUAAAAGCAUAAUAAUUUAAAUAAAGCAUUUUUCUUUCCUUAAGAAGUUGUGAUUAGGUUAUUAUGGUUCAUAUAAGCGAAUCACUUUAAACUAUAGUUAUCACUGUAUUUUAUACAAAGCAAUAUCUUGACUAUUAUAUUUAAAAUAAAAAAUCCUUAACAUACCUAAAAAUUUUUCCAAUAUUUGCUAUAUAAGUGAAUAAUUCUUAUCCAUUGGCAUCACUAGAUUACCCCAAUGAUAUCAAUAUUACUAUAAAUCAUACAUAUAAAUUUUCUAAAUUUGGUAUUUCAGUGGAUUACUCUAAGCAAGUAAAAAUAGCAAAGCAUUCCUUAAACAACUCGGGGAUUAUGAAGGUUAAGGCUCAAUAAUUUCGUGACUAAUGGCAUGAUAGUGGCAAUGUGAUCAGCAUUGUGCGAAUUCCGCCUUUACUGCUUAGGUAAACUCGUACCCAUCGAUCUGAAGCUGGGUAGUUUUCAAGCCCAAACUGAAGAUCAAACCCCUGUCCUUCUUAAAAACUGUUCAGUACCGUAACCACUGAGCCUGGAUCACUCUAAGCAGUUUUUCAAAAUUUGGUAUAUUAGUGGAACGCUCAAAGCAAUUGGUAUCGCAAUAAGUAUCCACCUAAGUAAUAUGUUGACAAUUGAGGUAACAAAACUUGCCGUAAAUUAUCAUUUUAUGUAAAAGUUCUCUCAAGUACAGUUACCGGUUUUGAAAAUCAUACUUUCCAAUUUCCUAAAGUCGGGCAUUUUUU